GAUAAAUACUUCCCAGUACACAAGUUUAUGUUAUCAACAACUUUUGUGCUUCCUAUUUUCGUUAUAAAAGCUCCCACACGCAUUUUAUUUAAAUGAAAACAAUCAAGUAGCAGUAAGGCGAAUAUAAAUAGUUUGUGCGUUUUAAUUCAAGCUAGGCCGAAAAGCUGCUGAAACAGCUCGCGAUAUCAAUGAUGUGUUUGGCCCAGGAACCACUAAUGAAUGUACAGCACAAUGGUGGUUCAAGAAAUUUCGUAGCAGUGAUGAGAGUCUUGAAGAUGAUAAGUGUAUUGGUCGGCCAUCAGAUGUUGACAACGAUCAACUAAGAGCCUUAGUCGAAGCCAAUCUACGUAUAACUGUUCGAGAGCUUGCUUCUGAAUUAGAUGUAACGUAUACGACAAUUUCCAACCUCUUGAAAGCGAUUGGAAAAACAAAAAUACUUGAGAAAUGGGUUCUGCACAAAUUGAACAACAACUAAAAAGAAAACUCCAUUUUGAAGUGUUGUCUUCCCUUCUUUUACGCAACAAGAAUGUCCUGUUUCUCGACCGGAUUGUGACCUGCGAUGAAAAGUGGAUUCUUUAGGACAACCAGUGAUGCUCAACUCAGUGGUUAGAUGCCGAUGAAGCUCCUUGGCACUGCCUGAAGCCAAAGUUGCACCAAAAGAAGGUCAUGGUGAUUGUUUGGUGGUCUGUGGUCAGUCUCAAACAUCACAGCUGUUUGGAUCCAGGUGAAACCAUUAUGGUGUAGAAGUACUGUCAGCAAAUGGAUGAAAUGCAUAAGAAACUCCGACAACAACAGCCAGCAUUGGUCAAUAGAAAAGGACCAAGUCUUCUCCUCAAUAACACUCGGCUGCACGUCAUACAACUGACCCUGCAGAAGUUGAACGAAUUGGGUUACAAAACUCUGCCUCAUCUGCCACACUUACCAGACAUCUUGCCUACUGACUACCACUUUUCAAGCAUCUCGACAACUUCCUGCGUGAGAAAUGCUUCAAAACCAAGAUGAUGCCAAACACGCCUUCAACGACUUCAUUGCCACCAGAACGCAGGAUUUUUACACUACUGGCAUAAAUGAACUUGUUUUGUGUUGGCAAAAGUGUGUUGAUUCUGAUCGUGUUUAUUUCGAUUAAUAAAGUUUUUUUGAGCUGAGAUAUGUGCAUCUGAAUUUAAAGGUUAAAAACCACAAGAACUUUCUUGAUAACCUAAUGUAUGUGUAUGUGUGUAUGUAUGUAUGUGUAUAUGUAUAUAUGUGUAUAUGUGUUUAAGUAUAUAUAUGUGUAUAUGUAUAUAUAUGUAUAUGUGUGCAUCCAGCUGUAGAAACUCUGCCAAAUCAGAUUGGAGCAUGGUGUAGCCAUCUGGUUCACCAGUCCUCAGUCAAAUCAUCCAACCCAUGCUAACAUGGAAAGCGGACGUUAAACGAUGAUGAUGAUGGUGAUGAUGCAUCAUAUGUGUAUAUAUAUGUAUAUGUCGCUAGUCACUAAACCUUUUUCUAUUUUCUCUCCCUGUUUAUUUCUGUGUUCCUUUCUGUCGAAGAGCGUAGGCUUGAAACAUAAAAAACUUUCUCACUUCCUGAACGUUAAAUUAAUACAUCCGUUUGUUGUUU